rnacentral:lncRNA from 1 species
AAUAAAUCAUGUGGGCCAAGAAAUAUUUAAUUUAACCAAUUUUAUCAUGUCACAUUAUAAGCAACUUAUAAACUCAUUGGAUUCGACUCUUUACUAAAAUAAAAAUAAAUUAAUAUAUAUAUAUAUAUAUAUAUAUAUUUACAUACAUAAAAUGUGAUUAUAUACACAUAUUUAUAAUUGAAUAUGUACAUAAAUUCUGUAGAUUUAUGUCUAUCUAUACAUUUGCAUUCUUACCACAUUUUAAAAGUGUGAUUUACCAAAUACAUGGGACUUAUUUGAAAUUUAUAGCACUUUUAUAAAUAAAAUUUAUCAAACGUUAAACAGAUUCUCUAUUUUCGCGUAUAUAUCCUCAUGUAAAUUAUAAAAAUUCAAAAUUAUCUUUAUUCAAUUAGGAAAUUAAAUCAUUAUUUUUAAAGAGAUUCUUAUUAUUACUAAUUAGAUUCAAAUAACCAAAAAAAUACAAUCAAUAAAAUAAAAAUAUUUAUUUUAGUUAUCAUUUAUUAUAUACACAUAUUUAUAAAUGCAUGUGUAAAUAAAAUUUUAUAGAUUUAUGUCUAUUUAAGUUAUUUGCAUUCUUACAACAUUUAAAAAAUGAGAUUUACUAAACACAUGUGAUUGUUUUUAAAAAAGUUACAACACUUUUAAAAAUAAAAUUUAACAAAUGUUUAAUUGACUCUCUCCAAAGGUAAUUGUUUUUACAGUAUAGCUAAAGUAAUUUAUAAAUUUAUGAUAAGUAUUUGUGAAUAUUGGUCUAUGUAAAGAAGUAAAAACAACAUAUAUAUUAAGCAGCAUGAUAUUAAAACUCUUAGUAAAAUACAUAUACUAAUAAAAGAAAGACAACAAUGCAAUAAAUAAGCUUAUAAUAUAAAUUAUUAAAAUUGUAUAUUAAAAAAUUAUGCAUGAAAUUCUUUUUCUAUUUUGGUGAUAGAGAAUGCGAUAUAAUUGAAUUAUUUGAUUUAAUAAAAAAAAAAUAUGACUGUGAAGGAAAUUAACAAUUGAAUUGUGGAAUGUUAUUAAUUGUUAUUGUAUCAUUUUGCAACGUUCUAAUAAUAUGGACAAUGUUACAGUAUAUUGAUGGGCGGUAAUAUUUUCACCUCUUAAAUUGUGUAAAGUCAGCUCCAUUUAAAAAAAUUAUAUAUAAAAAGCCCAUUAGUUUUAAUAGUUUCAAAUUAAGAUUAAAUGCAAAUAAUUAACCAAUUAAAUCCUUAUUAAUAAGAUCAUUGAGCUUUAAUUAAACUAAUAAAAUGCAUUUGAUAAAUGAAAUUUACGAUAUUUAAUUACAUGAAAUUUAUUGACUACAUGAAUAAUAUAAUUGUUCAGCUGUUUAAACUUUUUCCCUAUUUAAAUUUUAAAAAACAAUGUGAAAUUUUGUAAAUAGUUCUUUGAAAUGGGGUGGAUUUACACCAUUUGUGCAGUGCAAAUAUCCUAAUUCUAACAUUUUUUUUAAAAAAAAAGACCAAAUCAUAACAUUUUUUGUAUACUAAGUUAAAGUAGUACUAACAUUAUAGCCCCCUAAUGAUUUCAAUUCAUUCAAUGAAUAUAUAAUUUAAGCAUGUUAUAAACUAAGUCUCUAAAUCGAAUUAAAAAAAGAAAAAAGAGCUUAAUUGCUGACAUAGUUGAAAAUAAAAUAAAAAAUUUUAUUAUUAGAUGAAAAAUUAUGAAACUUAAGGGGUAUAAGCGAGUCGGCAGCUGCUCACCAGGGCAUAUGUAAUAUUUGUUAAUACAUUUCAAAAUUUUAGGUUUUUUAAUAAUAUUUUCAAUACAUUUUCUAGAAGGUUUAGAAAAAAAAAAUGACUCAAUACUUUAAUCGAGCUAUGAAUAAACUCAUGUGUUAAAAAAUUUCAUAUUUACACCCAAUAAGAUUAAUUAAUGGGUGAUACAAAUUUAAGAUAGUUAAUAAUAAUAUAUAUCAUCUUAAGUUAACUUCAACUCAUUAACCUUGUAUAAGGUUUGAUGGGUCGUGCCGCAAAUUAUCACCUCUAAUCCUUUUUGCAACAGGCAUGAUGAAUGCUAACAAAAUGAAACUUCUAUAUAUUUAGUUGUUAUUCUUUUUAAUGAAAUAAUAAGGAGCUUUGCUGCAAAUUUCCAUCCAGCAUGGCAUGGACGCACGUGAAAUUUGCUAGUAUGGUCCUGGACAUGCGUGGCUGAGAUGCUUCUAAAGGCAAAGAAUUCCAAGUUCAUACCAAAUAUAACUUUCUGAUAUUUUUGUGGUAUCAAGUUUGUUUUUCACAAACUAAGGUGUCGGCGUAAAGUUGUUGUCCAUGCAAUGAAGUUUUAUACAUAAAUAUAUUAACCUAAAUUGUUACUAAAGUUCCAUAAUUAGCAGUUCCUGAGAGUUUUUACUAUAUAUUUUUUUGUUUUAAUUCAACAUAUGUUUAUUUAAUACGAUUUUAUUAAAUAAAUGUGCAUAUUUACCAUAUUUGUCUACGAUCAAUUAGUUGGAAAAAAAAAAGAAAAUUAAUAAAUUUAUUUAUUUGAUUGUUAAUGGUUUAGGCAUUUGAAUUCCCACAAAGUCAGGGUGUCAGCUCUGGACUUCUGGUGAUGUAUUUUUCUAAUAAAGAAAUAAAAUAUUGUUGUCAUUUUUUUAAUAUUCUAAUUUACCAAGCCUACCAACCAAUUAAUUUUUCUAAUUAGAUCAUUAAUUCAUUACACGUGCAUUCGCUGGCCCAGUGCUCCAAUCCCAUGCAUGCUGCACAACUCAAUGUGUUUUAAUAAGAAAAGGUUUGGUUAGCCUGUGCUGAUGCCAGAAGCCCCUUAAGGAGUUCAGGUAAACGUAAAUAUGUCCAGAUUUAGAUUUGAAUAUGUAAACGUAAAUAGGUCCAGAUUCAGAUUCGUUGCGCUAGAGAGGGGCACGCACGAUCGGGCUGCUGUCAGGUGGUACGUUGGCGUGGCAAUUCUCAACACGCGCUUCUCCUGGUGCAUACUUACGGCAAGUUGACACGUGACCCGUGUGGAUUGAGUGGACAGAGUCACGGGCACUGAUUUUUGUCAUCCAUAACGACUAACGUCGGAGACUUCGAGAAGAAAGAAAUUGUUGUCGUUUCUAAGGGGAAAAAAAUAUUUAAUUUGUUGAAGACAAAUUAACGUCGGAGAUUUUUUUUAUUUUUUAUUUUUAAUUUUGCAAUCUAAACCAGUCUAAUCAAAAUGUCAAUUUGACAAAAGUUGGACUGAUUUAGAUUAGUUCUAUUAGUUUGAUUGGAUUAAAUUGAAUUAGAUCUUGAACAUCCUAACACUUUUCAUGAAUGUUUUCCUUUUUUUUUGAAAAAAAUUAAUAAGGAGAAUUCCCAUGAAUGUUAAUUUUAUUGAUAAACUUGGCAAUUUUAAGAAAUGUUUUGACGCACGAAUAAUGCAAUUCAUCAACCCACAUAGAUAUGGAUAUAGGAAGCAGAGACCAGAUCGAUCUUGACAUAACGAAAACUUGUAUGUGUAUAUGUAUGUUACAGACCAGAUCGAUCUGUAGCAUAGACUUCUCCUAUAUGUAGGUUAUAUUCAAAUUACAAAAUGAACACAUGUUAAGGAUCUACAACUUCUUCUUUAAUCUAAUAAGCUCCCUCAACUUUAUUCCAAAACAAAAAAGAAUCAAAUUUUUGUUGGAAAUAUUUAUGAAUGAAGAAGCAAAAAGCGCUUGUAUCAAGGAUCUAAUUAAAGAACUGCCAGAGGCAUAGAUCUAUCAAAGCUCCCUCGCAUGACUCUUGGUCUCGGUGGCUUCUUCUUCUUCAUUCCGAAUUUUCCCUCCAUCUGAUCUCUUCCAACCUUUCCAUUUCCAAAUUGAAUUGAAACUUGCCUCAUAUUCGUUUGUUGAAUCCCAUCUUUUGUUGCACCACCAUGCAUCAAAAUCCUUGAAAUCCCAGCAUAAUGCAAGGACUCAGCUAUUUGCAAUGGGGUCACGUUCUUACUUGUCCUUGCCUCAACAUCAGCUCCCUUCUUCACAAGCAAUUCAGUCACAUCUGUGUGGCCAGAUUCCACCGCACAAUGCAAAGCUGUGUACCCAUCUUCAUCUUUAGCAUCAACAUCAAUCCCUUUAUCAAUCAGAAUCCUCACAACCUCAAUCUUUCCCUUAAACGAAGCCCUAUGCAAAGCAGUCCAUCCAUGUAGGUCUUUCCCAUUGAUCGCGGCGCCUGCUUCGAUCAACCUCUGCAUUGUCCUCACUUCCCCUUUCCUAGCGGCAAUACACAGGCUGUCACCAAGCUUCAACGCGUCAAAGAGACGGGAGUGACCGCACUCAGCAGCAACAUCAUAAGCGGUCUUUCCGCUCUUGUUUCUAAUAUAUUUAUUAGCACCCUUCUGCAAUAACAGCUUCACCAUUUGCUCAUAUCCCAAGCUUGCGGCGAUAUGCAAAGGCGUGUCACCGUCUCUAGCGUUGCGUAUAUCAGGCCUUGCUCCGUUUGCUAACAGAAGUCUCGCGCAAUCUCUUCUUCUGUCUUCAACCGCGAGAUGCAGAGCUGUGUUACCAUCUUUUGUUAAAGCAUUGACAUUAGCACCUUUGAUUAAGAGAAGCUUUAGUACUUCCAAAUGGCCGCCUCGUAAGGCCAAGUGUAUGGGCCCCCAUGUUGAUGUUCCUGAUCUUUCUGUGCUGGCUUUCCUCGCCAACAAGAGCUCAACAAUAAGUGCUUCCCCUGCAGCCGCCGCGGCUUCAAGUGGAGUACUGCAGCCACACCUGCCUUGAGACUCAACAUCCGGCCCAAACUCAAGCAAAAGUUGAACAAUAUCAGGCCUCCUUUGAGCUAUAGCAAUAUGAAGCAACGUUUGUCCCUGCGCAUCGGCAGAAUCAGCCGGGUUCCAAGCCGGGUCACUCCGCUCAAGAACCUCUCUUAAAUCAUCCAUUUCACCAUCCUUAACAAGCAGAACCAAAACAGGAGACCCAACGAACAUGAUCUUGAUUCCGCUGUCGAUGAACACUUGCUUCUUCCUCGUUGUGAACCAGUCACUGGGGACGGAAUCAAGCGUCGACGUUGCAUCUUUAAUUCCAGCUCCAGGAACAACAACGCUGUGCAAGAGGAAGGAAUCAUCACAGUGAGGGAAAGAAUCAGGAAGAACCGAUCCUGGAGGGAGAUGAUACGCAAUCUCUACGCUUAGUGUUGCGAGUGGUGAUAUGAUUCCUGAUUGCGGCUUCACAGUAUAACGAGCCUUGUUUGUAGGCUGAAUCCUGAAAGCAACAGGCAUCGUGUGCAUGACAUUGCGGAGAGUCAGCUCCCCGGAACAUUUCUGCCCUGGUUCAAUUCUGAUAGCUACAAGGUUCGACGGCUCCAAGCUUACAAGCCUAUCCAUUGAUUAAUUUUCUCUCCGUUUCCCAAGGACUGCUGAAAGGGGUUCUUUGAACUUUUUGAUUCAGGCUUAUUUUCUUCACUUUUGGUGGCAUGGGGAGGAAUUAGAGGAGUAACUGUAAGAGCUGCAAGUGUUGGUGUAAUCAACUGUAAUAUAAGGAGAAGAGAGGGCCGGCUCUAAUGGGAGACUGCCACGUGGUGGUGUUAAAAACAAUGAGACUUGUUCUGUUCGGCGUCCGGAGUGUAUAUACAGUUGUGUUAGUGGUGAAAGUUAAAGAAAUCCUGAAGUUAUUUUCGGAGUGGCUUCUGCAAAGUCACUUUCAGGAUUGUAUUGUAUCAUUAAAAAACAAAGCCAGUUUUUGUUGUUCUAGUAAAAGGCGAAUCAUUGGACAAACUCGUAAGAAUAUGUUGCCAAAUGUAUAAAAUAUGAAAUUCAAACAAUGAUUACAAUGUGAAAUUGGACAAUGGACAUGGCCUGUGUGAAUUGUUUUGUGGGCUUACUAAUUAAAUUAAUUCACUAAAAAUAAUGUCACUUUUGUGUCUGUGAAGAAGCCGAAAUGGCACAGUCAUUUACGUGGCCAACUACGGUGACUACUUCGUCAGUAGCUGCUCGAGCACUUGGUCAGCACAAGUUGCUUUCUUUCUUGGCGGGAUUAGUUUUUCUUCAUUGCUUUAAGUGGUGCAUUUCUGCAGUUUCAUUUUGCUUUGCUUAUGCCAUUGGAUUUGUGCCCCAUAAAUAAAUAUAUAAUUAAGCGGAAAAGUAUCAAAUUUUGAAAAAGCUUAGGUUUUGUGUGUGUGUGUGUGUGUGUGUGUGUGUGUGUUUUAAGCCGAAUUACUCGGCUAAAAAUUAAUCCGAUUAUUAUUGUUUUGGUGCUUAAGAUGUGACUCUAACCUAAAGCUCAUUUGAACUCUCUUGAUGCUCAUAUGGUAUUUUUUGUGUUGUGUCGUGCUGGCCCUUACACAUCUCGGCUCAUAUUUUUCAUGUUACUAAGUUCUAAUAUGUACAAAAGAAAUAGAGCAAUGUCCGGUGGUAGAUCCAAACACUCAAUUUGGGGUGCUUAUUUUUCAGUCUCAAAUUCGAUUAUUUUCUUUUAAAAUAUUAAAAUAAUAGUAAUAAAAUACUUAUUUUAAAUACUGAGCUCAUUACAACCACAUAUGUAAAAGUAUCAUUUAUAUUUUUUUUCUAAAUAAUCUUCACAAAAUAUUUUAAAAAAUAAAAUUAUGUGACUAUGGGGAUUUGAACCAAGUCUCUCAAACUACUAAAUAACACUUUUACCACUAAAUUACAAAUCUUUUAACAUAUUAAAAGUGCAUCCAAAUUAUUAUUAUUAUUUAAUUAUUUCAUAAGAGAUUUGGGGCACAUUUAAAAGAAAAAAAAUUAAUGGUGCAUAAAGGACUAAAGCCUCUCUUGAGUCCUUGACCUUAACUAGGUCCACCCAUGGUAAUGUCAGUGAUACCCAACUUGAAAAAUAUACAAGAAACUUGGAAAUUUAAAUUAAUGAAUAAAUAAAUAAAUAAAAGGAAACUUAGUGAUUGUAGCUGUUGUAUUGUAUUGUGGAUCAAAGAAUUACAAGUUCUUGGUUUCUCGGUAUUGGCUAAUUUUGAAGUUAAAUGAAGUUCGAAAAUAUUUACAAGCAAUAAAAUUAUCAACUGAAUGAGACAAGGAAAGAGUAUAAAGACCUUAGCAAAUUAGCAAUCCUUCUUUAAUUUAGUAACAGUGACGCUUAUAAAGUUAGAAGACGUAUCAAAUCUAAUUUAGAUUUUGCCCCAUAAAACUAACUUAACUUAUAGUGCGUCUUUGUUUAAUUAGUAAAUAUUCCACAAAAACUGAUCAGCACUUUAUAGGAAAUUCCAAACACGUUUAUAUUCACAAGGAAUAUGUCAAGGAGAAAUGAGAAUAAAAAAAUGUAAAAACUAAUAAAGCUUCAUUAAUUAGAAUUUAUAACCAUAUGUGCUCCUAUACUACUUUUAUUAUUAAGAAUUUGAAGUAGAAGGUAGUUGAUUAUCAUGAAAUUACAAAAUUGUAAACGGAUUUGUUCUUUUGGAAAAAGAAAAAAAAAAAAAAAGGAAGGAUAGUUGAUUACUUGAUUAGUGAGAAAUCAUACGUAUAAAGGACAAAUUGAAAAAUGGGACCUGAAUUGCAACAAAGCUUCAUUGGAAUUAACUGCCGAUAAAAUUAAAUUAGUAUCACCCUACCCUUUCAUCUUAAUAUAUUCGAAAUUUCACCGAUCAAAGUUUCUAGCUUCGAUUUUUACGAUCUCUCAUCCUAAUAACACCAAAAGCAUAUUCAUUCGUUUGUAAGAUUAUGUAACAAAAUAUAGUAAAUAGCCUAUAAUUUUUUUGUUUUACUACUAACCUGUUAUCAUUCUUUUCUAAUAAUACAUGUUAAAAUAUUCACAGAAAAAAUUUAUCCCUAUUACACCCAACCACCUUUUUUUGUGUUUUUUUUGUUCAAAUUUUAGCAUUAAAGGGACAAUAAUGUCCUAUGAAAUAUGCAGAAAGACAGUUAAUAAUAUUCAAAAAUGUAAGUGGAGGUAUCUUACGCCACACACACAAAUUACACGACUCUCAUUAAUGUGUUGUUGUUGUUAUGUGUGGCGUAAGUUACAGUUGAAUGUCAUAUUCAAAAAAGUAAGUGGAGGUAUCAAUCUCCCUAAAUAAAUAAUUUAUGGAAGGUUGUUAGCUGUUGUACUUUUAGUUAAUUUUAAAAUCACAAUAAUAUGGUUAAUGUUAAGUUACAUGCAUGUAACUUAGGAGGAUCCCAAUAAUAUACCAUAUUUUAUUAAUAUGUACAGUAUUUAUAAUAUUUAAAAAUUAAGGAAUUAAUGUACGCAUGUAAAAGCUGCAUUGGAGCCAGUUGGAAAUCUUACUGUCUUGAUAUAUGCAACGAUUGUAGCAGCUAAAAAGGCAUGAUAUUUACUUAAUAUUAUUUCAAACAAUAAUUAUUUAUUUAAAGCAAAUAAUAAUAAUGAGGGCAGAAGGACUAUUCUAGGAUCAAUAUGGUGACAGUAUAAAUAAAUAAUAUUAAUUAUUAAUGCAUUGAUGAGUAUUGUUAAAAUGACAUAAUAGGUUUGUUUCAUUGAAUUGAACCUUUUCUCUUAAAAUAGCUAUAAUUUGUUCUCUCUCUCUCUGUGUUUUUGUUUUUGUUUUUCACUUUAGUUUUACUUCUCUUAAAAAACCAAAAAAAAAAAAACAAAAUUAAUGGAAACUGAUGAUGGGAAGACGGACAAUUUUCUAUAUUGUUAAAUAGAAAUGGGCACAAAUGUGAGUUUUUUGGGGCAAAAAAAUAUAGUCAAUGUACGUAGCGUUUGUCUAUUUGAAAACCCGUCAAUAUAAAAACAGGACGUAAAGCUUUCAGACAAAGUACUCUUAUGGCCGUACUUUCCAUAAACCAAAUCAAAAGAAGGAAAAUAUUUGUGUCUGGCUUCGAUGCGACUGUUAACAUUCACAAAUAAACACCUUUGCAUGGUCAGAAAAAUUAACAAGAAAUUAGAAGGCGAUGUUGCGUUCUACUUAGUUCUCUAGGAUUUGUGUCAUUUGUUUAUGCUACGGUUCGUUCCCAUUUGCAUUGCGUGGAAUAAUUGGCCGAAUAUUAUUAAUCUCAAUCUUAAUCUCUCAACUCUUGUCCCUUUAAUUUUUGUUUGUAUCUUUUUCUUUUUUUUUUUAAAUAUCACAUACAAUGCUUUUAAUAAAUAACUUCAUAGAAAUAUUUAAUAAAAUCCAACAUAUAUAAGUUCAAGAAACUCAAAAAAUAAAAGAAAAUAAACUCACGUUGUCACUGGAGAGACUCAAACAUGCUACCUUAAAAUUAAGUAGAGGGUGCAACUACUUGCACUUUAAAAAAAGAAAAGAAAAAAAAAGGGGCUUUGAACGCUCGUGAUAAUUUGCAAGUUAUGGAGGAUAAUCAUUGUACAAUGGGGAGAACUCUUAUGGAACAAUAUUCAAACUGAUAUUGAAAGCAUAUAAGAAUUUGGCUUGGGUGUUUUGGUGCCAUGAAUGAGUGCAGAAACAAAGAGGAAGCUUUGUCCCUUUAAUUUGAUCUGCUGUAUUAUAAUUAUUGAGAUUAAUCAAAUAAAUAACCGAAACAUGGUUACAGUUUUAUAGUGUAUUGCAAGUCUUUGGAGAUACUAUGUACCUCAAAAAAAAAUAUCGUAUAAAAGAGUGUUUUGUUUCACAGGGGUUCAAUGAGAUUUGAGAUGGCUGUAAUGAAAGUGAUGUAAAUUUUUUGGACUCUAAUGAGGUGUUUUUAGAUGGAGGGGGAUUUACAAGUAUUUUAUAGGGGUGAUAAAUGACUGUAUACCCACCAAAAAGGCCCAUUGUUCGAGUCCAUGAGCAUUACAGUUUUUUUUUUUUUUUUUUUUGAAAUUCAGAACAUGCAGUUUGUUUGAUUCAACUUCCGAAUUACAAAAUUAGAAUAAGAAAAAAAAAUGUGGAUGUUUUUUCUUUAAUUUACAUAAUAAUACAUGGUGUGGACGAUGUCUAUUGAGGGAUAAAAGAGGAAUGGGGGCACUGUGAAGUUUGUGUUUUUGUUUUUUUUAAAUUAUCAUAUUCAUACUGUCUAUAAAAAUAUGCAAGUUAAAAAAUUACUCAUGAUAUUGUUGUUUUUGUUUCAUAUAAUACUACUUAUGCACAUCGCCUCAUGCAAACAUUUCUUAGUUAUGCUUAAAAAAAUGAGAUUCUCACCAUGGGUCACUGUAAAAAUCCACAGAAGCCGUGGAUCACAGUAGGAAGCCCACUUGAACAGAAGAAGCUACCGAAAGCUUCGACAUUGUAUUUAUGAAAUGCUUAGUAAAUUUUGUUUUAUUUUGAAUUUAUAUUAUAAAUGGUGUGUUGCUAAAUUAAAAAAUAAAAAAGAAAUGCAAUGUGUCAAAAUACAAGAAUCUUACGGACAUUUUUGUCACAAUAUAUGUAAAUAAUUCAUAUCUUAUUCAUAUCCUAUGUAAGCUUCACUUGUUUAACACAAUGGUGGUUGAAUCUUCAAAAAUUCAUAAUCUUAAACAACCAAAUUUGGAAUUAAUUAAGCAAAUUGCCUCUAUAAAUUGAUUACAACAACCAACGACGUGUGAAGCCACAUGUCAAUUUCCCUAGACAGCCCAAAUAUUGAGGCGCUGUGAGGGAGCAAGGUGCAAUCGGAUGGGGGAAAGAGAGAGAGCCAAUGGUGAGAAUGGAUCGUGGUGAGGGAGAACCAACUGGUGGUGAGAUUUGUGGCUUCAAUGAGGUGAGUUUCGUGGCGCUGUGAGUGAAGUGAGAUUUGGCAUGAGUGUGAGGGAGAAUGCGUGUGUUGUGUGAGUGAGGUAAGCUGUGUCUGUUGUGUGCAUGGAGACUCUCACCACAAUUAGAAUUUAUAGUUAGCACAGAACGAAACACAAUAUUCUACGCUAACUGUGGAGUUAACCAUGGUGAGAAUAUCAUUAUUGUUUAUUAUAACACUUUUUUUUUUAAUUUGUUUUGACAAUAAAAUAAAGAACCUUGUAAGAAAACCUCAAUAACUCAAUUAAAAAACCAACUCAACCGAUGAUAGGUAAAUUGAGAAAUUUUCAACUAAAAAUUAUUAAGAUUGGUUUUAACUUCAAAUCAUAGUCACAUAGUUUUGUCCUUAUAAAGAUCAAAAUAAUGAAUUCUAACUCCGAAGUUUUUAGAUUUAUGUGACGAACUGACGAUAGUAUAUUGAAAUCGAUUGAAAUGAAAAAUUUAAUUAAAUGCAAUUCAAGAUGUAGUAUCAAAUUCAAACGAUUCGGAUUGUUUUAAAAAUUUCAAUGCUUUAAUCUAAAUCGAUUAAUCAAUUACACUCUUGCAAUUAUAUACCGUUAAAACUAAAAUAUGUAAAAUUUAGGGUGCAUUUAUUACCAUUUUCAAUUUGUUGUUUUUCGUUUUAUGAAAAGGAAAAUACAGAAAACUUGUUUGGUGAGCUCAUAUUGGUGGAAAACUGUACAGUGAUUAAAAACAAAAAAAAAUUCAUUUUUCAAUGUUUACAAAGGAAACAAGAAAACGCUAUUACACUGGGUUCUCUAUUUUAUUUCACUUUUACUCUCUGCCAAGGCCCUACCAUCUUAACUUUUAUAACAUGGUGUAAUAAAUUACGUGGGCCCAUUUAAUAAAGAAAUAAUCUAAUAAAUAAAUUAUUAUAACAAAUAUUUAAAAAUAAUAGCAUUCCAUACCUUACAGCUUAAUUACUUAAUAUAUUACCCAAAUUAUUUUAAAUAAAAAGUGAUAUCAUAUAAUUAUUAUACUAAAUUAUUACAUUGUUCGACCAAUAUGCAGUUAUUUAAAAAUUACUACAAACUUUCUUACAUAUAUUAAUGAAAAUAUAUCAAUAAUAAAGUUACAUCUUGACAGUUAAUAUAAAUAAAUAUAUGAUAAUUAUGAAAUAAUUAAAGAUUUUCUCAAUUAAUAUUAUCUUAUAACUACAAUUUAUUUACAUAAUUAAAAGUUUUUAAGAAAUUAUUAAAAUAUCUUCAAACCUAUAUGCAUUUAUAAUAAUAUAUAAUACAUCAUAAUAUAAUAACUAAAUAGAUAAAUUAUUUAUUAAUAUAAAAUAUAUGUUUAUAUUCAUUAUAUAAUAUUAUUCUUUCAUAGUAGUUUCAUUAAAUAAUUCUCUACUCUCUCUCUUUUUAUCUUUAUUUUUUCGGACAGACAAGUAACCAAACACCGCUUCACCUUUUUUUUAUUUUCAAAUACUAUUCUUAAAAUAAACUACCAAACAUAUUUUUAUUUUUAACAAAAACUAAUCAUUUUUAUUUUAUAAAACAAAUUGAAAAGUACUAUUUAAAAUAUAAUACCAAACUUACCCUUAAUAAUUUUAUAUUUGUCAAAAAGAUGAGAAGCUAAGUGGCACUAUCGUUUACCUAUUCAAACUAAACGUGGAGUCACAAUAUUGAAGACACUUUGGUGGCCACAACACUCUUUUCUUUAGUACGGAACAAUCUGGCUUACAUGACACUACAUAAAAAUAAAUAAUAAAAAAUCACCGAUUCCAACUGCCCCGGACAAAAAACAGGCCACACGUAAAAAGGCUUCUAUUUUUAUUUUUAUUUCUCCCCAUUUUAAAGAUGACGUCAUGGUGAUUAUGAAACCAGAAAAUAACAAAUUUUAGUUGUCUGAUUUUGUAGUUAUCCAGCGAAAACUAAAAAAACAGUGAACGCAGCAGCAGAUCUCCGUGUUUGUCGUCGUUCGAUGAGAGAUUCCGAUUCGUGAGCAUCGCAAGUGUUGAAAUGGAAUCAGACGAAAUGAGGAGUUAGCCUCUUAUUAUAUAAUAAUAAUAAUGAUAAUAAUAAUAAUAACUAAUCUCUUUUAUCAUAUAAUUGAUAAUGGAAAUUCACAUUGACAAAAGGCAAAUUACACACUGACUGGGCAGAAUAAAAAACAGUCUCUCUCAAAAGCAAUAAUUUAAACACUAACACCACCUUAAGGAGACACCCCAAAAAUAAAGCAGCAAGCUCUUACUGUGACCACACACACACACACACACCAAACUUUUAUUAUAGAAUAAAUCUAAGAUGAUGGAUGAUGGAUGCGUCACAUAAAAGUUAAUUAAUUUAAUCGCUGUCACUGCUGCUGCUGCUCUCGUGUCCGUCCUCGUGCUUCUUCUUCUUCUCCUUCUUUUUCUUCUUCUCUUCACCGUGGGCGGCGCCCUCGCCGCCGCCGACACCGGGGAUCUUCUGCUUGAUCUUGUCCACCAAGCCCUCCUUGUGUUCGCCCUCCUUGUGUUCCCCGCCGUGAUGCUGCUGCUGAUGGUGAACAUCAGUAGUGCCGACACCGGGGAUCUGCUGCUUGAUCUUGUCCACCAAGCCCUCCUUGUGUUCGCCGCCGUGAUACUGCUGCUGAUGGUGGACAUCAGUAGUGUGGUGGUCCCCACUAUGGUGCUCUCCCUUGUGCUUGUCCUCCUCCUUUUGCCCUCCUCCCAUGUGAAGGGCUUCUCCGAUCUUGUGAAUAACUCCUGACAUUUUCCCUUAAAAUGACUCUGUUCCUCUUCUUUUCUUUUCAAUGAAAAAUAGUUGUUUGCGAUCUUCUUCUGGUUGUUGUUGUUCUUGUUGGGUGAUCUUGGCUUGGUAUUUAUAGGCUCCAAAAGGAGGGACUAGAAUUAGGAUUAGAUUAUAGAUUAUUUUAAUACAUUUUAUGGCAAAUUCUGAUUUGGAAAGAUAAGAUUAUCCUUUUGGUUUUCCUUAUUUACCCUUUUGCACCCAUUACGUGUACGCGUCUUCGUGGGCUUUUUGGGUAUUUCAAUUAUAUCGCCAAUGCUAAAUCGACACGUUGCAUAUCAGCCGCGGUACUGCCGUAUGUAGUUGUCCAGAAAUCGAGUCGAUUCUCGAUCGUACAAUAAUUAAAUAAUAUUUCAUACGAAAUGAGUUUAGAUAUAUUUUGAAAAUUUAUUUUUAAUUUAAUUAUACGUGUUAUAUAUUUGUUAAUCGAAUAGAGGUCCCACGUAACAGAGUGUUUCUCUAAUCUUUCAUUGCUUUUAAUUAAUUUUACCCAAAUAAAAAAAAAAAGGAAAAUUUAGAGAGAGAGAGAGAGAUAGCGAAUUAGAAGUUGAUUGUAAUAUCGACACCUGUCAGACAAUCAAAUAUCGUUAGUUAAAAAUCAGUUGUCCAUAGUCAUGGUCAUAGAUGGCGAAAUUGAUACUUAUUUUAAAAAACAAAACAAAACAAAACGAAACGAAACUAAACUAACAGAUGUUGAAAUGCAGUUCCGUGUUAACAGUCUGUGAUGAAUCUUUAUCUUUGAGUAUACCAUUCAAGAAAUUAUCAUUCAAAAAUUUAUUUAAAGCAGCAGCAAAUCACCUUCUAAUUCCUGAAUCAAAUUAAUUCGAUUUUUUUCGAGUCGAUCAAUUCAUUAGAGAAUUAACGGGCUAAGUUAAAGUUUUGUUAGUUAUUUUUUUUUAUAUUCCUUUAGAUGAUAUGAUUGUCAUUGUCUUUCUUUCUCUGGGCAACAAUAAAUACAAGAUGUGCAAAAGCGUAGUGGAACAUAAUUCGAUUAUGGGUAAAGGGAUCAGUCCGCAUAAUGAGGAUAAAGUUUUUCUCUUUAAAAAAAUUUAACCCAAAGAAAAGGUCGUAGUUUGUAAUAGCCGACACGCAGAUAGAUCACAAAGCAUGGCGGUCCUGAUGGCAAUAACUAACUGAUAUCUUCUGCGAUGAGAGGAGAUCACGUGGUUCUGACACGUAUCGCCCCAUCAACUGAUGUUGUGGCUGCAAUCGCGGCCCAGUCUUUAGAGAGAAGAAAGAUCUGUUAUAACGGGACCUACUUUAGCAUCUAUUUACGACAAAGCCCCUAUUUACUCUACUUAGUAGUAAUAAUAGCAAGUGUCGGGCUUGGAUUCCGUGUUGCUUUAAAUAAAUAUCCGCGUAAAAAGAAAAUGCUUCUUUAAUCCCUUCCUUGUAAUUUUUCGACACGUGGAUGGUUGAAAUUAGCGUGCCGACAUCUUAGGAAUUUUAUCUUGGAGACGGGAACACUGCAGUAGGCAAUGCCAUUUUCUUCGGAUGGUGUGUGGUGACAACGCCUUGGAUUUUGACGUGCAAAGAAUUUAAAUUGAAAAAGAAAAAAAGAAAUUACCAGAAUAAGCAUAGAAGAGAUAUUUUUCUUUUUGUCCUUUUUGGAAUGGAAAAAGAGAUCAAGAGAUUGUUCCAGUAAGUAUUACACAUGUCACAGGCUUAUUCAUGCCCCAUUAUGGCAACUUUUAUGCCUCGCGGUGCCCUCGGUUCCAGCAUAAUAGCUAAGACUUCAAUUUUUCUAACAUAUUUUUGUUACAAAUAUGAACGGAGUAAAUGUAUAACUUUAAUCCUUUGAAUAAAGAAAUGGCGGUUCUCCUGCUCGUUAAUCUCACUUGAAUCCCACCCAGGCAAAAUUUCUUUAUUUUAUUUAACAACAAUUUAAAGAAAGAAACUUUUGCCAGGUUGAAUUUCAAGUGAGAUUCAUUCGUGGGAGAAGUGCCAUUUCUUUAUUCAAAAGAUUAUGGUAAUUACAACUUUCAAUUUCGACAUAAAUUAAAAUUAUAGGCUAUACAAUAAAAUUGCCCUAAAUUAGUCCUAAUCAAUUCAGAUUAUAAAUUUAGGUAUAUUUAUUAUUUUAAUAUAUUAAUGUUCUAUAUAUAUAUAUAUAUAUAUAUAUAUAUGUGUGUGUGUGUGUGUAUNNNNNNNNNNNNNNNNNNNNNNNNNNNNNNNNNNNNNNNNNNNNNNNNNNNNNNNNNNNNNNNNNNNNNNNNNNNNNNNNNNNNNNNNNNNNNNNNNNNNNNNNNNNNACAGCAGAAAAUAUUUGCUAUGGAUAAGGAGACAUGGUCCCACGUCCCACCGUCCCAAUGCAUAUUUUGUAUGUUUCCAUCUUUUCUGAAAUUUUAAUAAAUAAAGUUUUUUGACCACUUGGCCAAAGAACCUUACCCUUACACAACUUUGUGGUUGGAGUCCUGUGAUACAUGUAAGAACUUAUUUUUUUUCUUAAUUAUAAUAUUUUAGAAUAUAAUUAAGUGAAGUAGGUUUUUUUUUUAAAUAUGAGUAAAAUAGAUAUUUUUUAAAUAUUAAAGAGAGUAAAAUUUGAAUAAUAAUAUAUUAAAAUUAAUACAAACUAAUUUUAAUAAUUAUUUAAUUAUAAAUAUCAAUUAUAACAUCAUAUAAUAUCAAUUAUAAUAUCGUACAUCUCAAUUAAUUCAAUAAUAAUAAUAAUAAAUGUUUUUUGGGAUAAGUAAACAGUCGCAUGGCGACAAUAGUGGAUCUGGAUUAGAGUGAAGUGGUCCCAAGAGGCUGAGGCUGUGGCUGUGGAGUUCUAAAAGUCAAAAGCUCCACGCACUUUGUUUCAGUACCAUACACACUGAAAAAAUUUGCAUUUGCAAUGACGAAAACUUUUCACGAAAUCAAAACACCUCUAAACUAUUUUGUUAUCGAUAUUUAAUGGAGGGGUUUCCUACCUUUUUAACACUCGAUUCACGCCUUGACGCAUCUCACAGAAAACCUCAUGAUCCCAUUAAUCUUGCGUAACAUAUCUCAAAGCCAAUGCAAGUGAUCUUGUUGCCUACUUCCCUUUGACGAUUCAAAAUUGUUGAAAAUAAUUCUUUUUUUUUUUAACCUCAAGGAAGUGACAAAAUAUAAAAGAAUAUUUUCUACACAUUAAACAUCUAGAUUUUUUUUUCUUUUCUUUUUAGAGUACUUGCACAAACCGUUUCCAAGAGAGACCUUUUUUUUUUUUUUUUUUUUCCGGGCUUGGUUACUAAUUUGGUGUGAAUACUCUAUGGUGAAAAAGGAAUCACAAAGCUGUAAUCAAUUUUUUUGCAUCAUUUAGUUGUAACUUGAACAUUGGGAGGUUUAUAAAGAAUUAAAUUAAUUAUAAUGCCUCUACUAGGAAAAGUUCAGAGUAGCCCUUCACAACUUUUUAAAGGCUUAAUAAUUUUCGCUUUCUUCCUCUCAUAACAUAACAAAAAAUUAAGAGCUUUACUCGUACACGUCCUAUGGCUAUAUAGUAUUGGGUUCUCUACUUCAAUCGGCUAUCUCAAACCGAAGGUUAUUUGGACACACCAGCAGUCACGUUUGGAAACUCUCAAAUGCUUGGAUUGUAAUUCUUGUGGAUGAGAUCAUCUAAAUCUUGGGCCCAAGCCGGACAAUGGGUGGACAAAGAACCCUAAAAUACAGUAAAGCUUCUAACACCCCACUAAAACUCUUAAGAAAUCCUACCUUUUAUUUUUAUAUCUCUUUCUUUUAGAAAUUAUAGAGAAGACAUAGCAUUUUAAUUAUUUUCCCUGCCAUUGAAAAUAAAUUCUGUAAACAUAUUUUUUCAUAAUAAAAUUAUUGUUAUUAGAUAAUUUAUUUCUUCAUUGUUUCAAAAUUAUUAUAAUUUUAUCAACAAAAUUAGUUAUGUCAUAUAUUAGGAUUAAAAUUAAUUAGGAUCCAUAACUUGUAAAGACAUUUUAGUUUAAUUGAAUUCAUAUUUGUCAUUUUAUGUAAUUUUCAAUAAAAAUACGACUAUGAGUGCAAAAGUGGGAUGACAUAAUAUUAAAAGAGUGUGAAAUAAUCGGUAAUUGAAAUGGAUUGAAAUCAUAAUAGAGUAUGAAAAUCAGAAUAAAUUGUUUACUUUAGUUGUAGAAAUCAAAAUUAAAAUAAACCAUAUUAUCAUUGAUGUAUAUAUGUUUUCUUGUAAUCGAAAUGAAUUCUUAUAAGUUACUAUAAGACCCUUAUGGUGUGUUUACUAAUCAGAAAUCAGAAUGGAGUGGAAUUUGAAUAUAGAAUGGUAGGGGUAUUCGCGGAUCGGAUUUUACGGAUUGGACAUUAAUUCAUAUCCGAUCCAUAAUUUUACGGAUUAUAAAUUCUCAACACAAUCCAAAUCCAAUCUAUAUGUUUGCAGAUCGGAUGCGGAUUUGACUCAAUUCAUAUCCAAUCCACUAUUUGACGGAUUGAUUUUGGAAUUAAAAAUUUUUAAUUUUGUCCAAUCUAUGAGGUAAUUAAAUUUAAAAAUCUAAUAUAAAAAUAAUUUAUUAAAUAAAAAAUUAACGUAAAAAUAAUUUUACUACCAAUUAAAUUCAAAAUUGAACAAGAUUUAAAUAAAUUAAUUAUUUAAAUAAAACUAGAAUAAUUUAUUUAAAAUUUUUAAAUAUAACAUAUCGAAAAAAAAUUCAUUUGUUUAGAUUAAUAUAUGAAAAUUAACUAAAAUUAUGAAUUUAAAUGUUGAAAUUUGAGAGCUUGGAUGUAACAGGAAGAAAUUAAGAAACUUGAAGAACUUGAAAAGAAAGUAACAAAUUAAGCUUAACUACCUCUAAUGGUGAAGUGAAACAGUGAUGGUUUGUGCGUGCAAUGGGGUACAAAUUUGGCAUUAUAUGCCAAAAUAUUUUGUUUGGCUUUAGAAUUUUUAAUGUUUAGGAAGCUAUAUUUGUUUAUUUAAUUACUCAAAUAUUUAAUUAUUUUUUAUUUUAUGUUAUUAUUGAAUAAGAUAUAAUAUUGUGUUAAUUUAGCUAUACUUUAAUUAAUUAAUUAAUUUAUUAGUAAGUAGCAUUGCUACAUUUAUAAGUUUUAUUUUUUAUUAAAUAAAUACUUUUUUUUUUCAGAUUCACGAAUUUUUACGGAUUUACAGAAAUAAAUCCAUAUCUAAUCCAUCGACUGUGGUUUUUUAAAUUUUCAUUCCAAUCCGAUCUACCAAUCCACAAAUUAUAUUUUUACGGAUCGGACGAAUUGAGCGGAUCAAAUUGGGUUCUGAACACCCCUAGAGAAUGAGAAUCAAAAUAAAUUAUUUACUUUAGUUGUGUGAAUCGGAAUUGGAAUAAAUUGUACUGUCAUUGAUGUGUUUACUUUAUCUUGGAAUCAGAAUGAAUAAUUUCAAAUUACUAAACUGACCUUAAUUUUUUAUUGUAAUAAUAAUAGUAGUAGUAGUAGUAAUAGUAGUAAUUUUCUAUUAUUAUUAUUAUUUUCUCUCUCUUUUGUUUUUAUUUUUUUAUUUUUCUCUUCUUCUUCUCUUCCUCUUUUUUUAUUUUUCUCUAAUUCAUCGAUACUUCUUCUUCUUCUUUUUUCUUUCGUUUUUAUUUUUAAUUUUUCCCUUCUUUAUCGUUCCUUCUUCUCCGUCCAUUCUCUAUCUUCAAACUCUUUUUACUUUUUCUCUUAUUCUUCAUUACUUCUUCUCCCUUUUUUUUUUUUUUCUCUUCUUUAUUAAUUCUUCUUCUUCUGCGUCUAUUCUUCAUCUUCAAAUUAUCAAGUGAAAAAUACCCACGGUGCCUUACAAGAAGAAUUGGUUUUGUUUGCUUCAAUUAUUUUUUGUAUUUUGUACUUUUGAUUGUUUCAAAAGAGGAUAAACUUGUAAUAAUGCAAUUUAAGUAGGGAUGUUUUAGACAAUUUUGGGUAUGAGAGUCUAAUUCCCAACCCCCCACUCCCUCGUAGCAGACUCCCAUUCUUCAUUCCUAACUUGGUGUUGGACCUACUAAAAUAAAUCCCAUUCCCCUUCUUAUUUCAAGAAGCAAACACGAUUUUGAUUUCAAUUCCCCAAUCCGAAAGUAAACGCACAAAAAUUGUACCCAUAUGAGAUUGCUUAUCCUCGAGUUUUUAGAUUGAAAAAAAAAAAGGAAAAAAGAAUGGCCCCAUUAGGAAGGGAUUUUAAGUGUUAGAUAAAGCCGGUGUUAACCAUUAGAAGGUCUCCGACCUUCAACUGUAAUAUAUUAAACCCAGAUAAAUUUACAUAUAAAUCACACAAACCAACAUGCCAAUCAAAUAAAUUACAUCAACUAACAACAAUUGACACAUUAAUUUUCAUAAUACAGAGGAUGCAGAAAAUUAAAAUGUUUUAUCUUUUCUCCUUAUUUGUGAAUUGGAAAAUGAAAAUGUUAAACAUACAGAAGAGUGAAACAGGAUGGAUAUAUAUACACACACACACACACACAGCUUUGGAGUUCAAUGUCAUCGUAUUGCUCCAAGAAGAUUGGCGCCAUCAAGCUUUGCACCUUCCAGAUGCUGUUUAAUCAUCACCAUAACACCUUCAGUAGACAUUAAUACAUAAUAGAAACACAAAAUUCACAUGAUCUGAAUGUCUGGUCUAUUUUACUUACCGUAUCUCGAAGAUUUACGUGCCGUAAAUAAGCUCUUUGAAGGUUGGCACCCUUUAAAUUGGCAUUACGUAGCUUUGCACCCUGCCGCAUAAAUGUUCGAAGUUUCAACAAAUUAAAGUCUCCUGAGAAAUACAUGUCACGAAAAAGUAGGGCUGAAACUUGCAUCUAAUGUACAAGAUUCAAUCAGGGGUGCUUGUCCCACAGUGAAAGUGUAUGGGGGAAAGUGCACUUUCACAAACCAAAGGGGCAAGAUGUGAUUAUCACACGAUUACAAAAGGACUGUAGUCAAGAGAGAGAACUGAACAUGCAGCUUGUAUUGAGGCCAUGAAAAUUGAUGAAAAGCAGUAACAAGCAACCAUUUUGAAAACACUUCAUAUGGUCGAAUCAAUAAAUCAAAGCUAAAAUGAUGUUGACGAUCGAUAGCUUUUAGGUGAUAAGAGUCUUGGCACUACAGUUAAAAUUAUUAUCUAGGAGUGCACACAUUAAUAAAAAAAAACACAACCAAUAAGCAUGCACUCUUAAUCAGCAUAUAAAUUAACAAGUUAGUUGCACCUUAUGUUGUUCCACAAACAGAUUGCUCGAACAAUUCACAAUCUUACCUU